rnacentral:rRNA from 1 species
UACGUAGGGGCCUAGCGUUGUCCGGAUUUAUUGGGCGUAAAGAGCUCGUAGGCGGUUUGGUGAGUCGGGUGUGAAAUCUCCACGCUCAACGUGGAGGGGCCACCCGAUACUGCCAUGACUAGAGUCCGGUAGGGGAGUGUGGAAUUCCUGGUGUAGCGGUGAAAUGCGCAGAUAUCAGGAAGAAUAUCCGUGGCGAAGGCGGCUCUCUGGUACGGCACUGACGCUGAGACGCGAAAGCGUGGGGAGCGAACAGG